AUUGAACGCUGGCGGCAGGCUUAACACAUGCAAGUCGAGCGAGCGGCGGACGGGUGAGUAAUGUCUGGGAAACUGCCUGAUGGGGGGGGAUAACUACUGGAAACGGUAGCUAAUACCGCAUACCAUCAGAUGUUCCCCGAUGGGAUUAGCUAGUAGGUGGGGUAAUGGCUCACCUAGGCGACGAUCCCUAGCUGGUCUGAGAGGAUGACCAGCCACACUGGAACUGAGACACUGUCCAGACUCCUACGGGAGGCAGCAGUGGGGAAUAUUCCACAAUGGGCGCAAGCCUGAUGCAGCAAUGCCGCGUGUGUGAAGAAGGCCUUCGGGUUGUAAAGCACUUUCAGCGGGGAGGCGUUACCCGCAGAAGAAGCACCGGCUAACUCCAUGCCAGCAGCCGCGGUAAUAC
rnacentral:rRNA from 1 species